rnacentral:snRNA from 1 species
UGCUGUAGAGGAUCGUUACUCGGC